UAACGCCCUUCUGAGCAGACUCCAGAGAUGCGCUGCUGAUUACGAAGAUGCGCUAUACUCAAGCAAAGACGUGUGGCUCCGUAUCGUGGAGCACUCGCCAGCCUAUGCAUGCACCUCGUACGAACUGAGUGUAAAAGAAUUCCGGAGAAGC